rnacentral:rRNA from 1 species
CUACGGGCGGCUCCAGUGGGGAAUAUUGCACAAUGGGCGCAAGCCUGAUGCAGCCAUGCCGCGUGUAUGAAGAAGGCCUUCGGGUUGUAAAGUACUUUCAGCGGGGAGGAAGGGAGUAAAGUUAAUACCUUUGCUCAUUGACGUUACCCGCAGAAGAAGCACCGGCUAACUCCGUGCCAGCAGCCGCGGUAAUACGGAGGGUGCAAGCGUUAAUCGGAAUUACUGGGCGUAAAGCGCACGCAGGCGGUUUGUUAAGUCAGGUGUGAAAUCCCCGGGCUCAACCGGGGAACUGCAUUUGAUACUGGCAAGCUUGAGUCUCGUAGAGGGGGGUAGAAUUCCAGGUGUAGCGGUGAAAUGCGUAGAGAUCUGGAGGAAUACCGGUGGCGAAGGCGGCCCCCUGGACGAAGACUGACGCUCAGGUGCGAAAGCGUGGGGAGCAAACAGGAUUAGAUACCCUUGUACUC